rnacentral:rRNA from 1 species
UACGAAGGGGGCUAGCGUUGCUCGGAUUGACUGGGCGUAAAGGGCGCGUAGGCGGUUCGUACAGUCAGACGUGAAAUUCCUGGGCUUAACCUGGGGGCUGCAUUUGAUACGUGGUUGCUUGAGUGGGGAAGAGGGUCGUGGAAUUCCCAGUGUAGAGGUGAAAUUCGUAGAUAUUGGGAAGAACACCGGUGGCGAAGGCGGCAUCCUGGACCAAUUCUGACGCUGAGGAGCGAAAGCCAGGGGAGCAAACGGG